UACGUAGGGAGCAAGCGUUGUCCGGAAUCAUUGGGCGUAAAGCGCGCGUAGGUGGCCUCAUAAGUCCGCUGUGAAAGUCAAAGGCUCAACCUUUGAAAGCCGGUGGAUACUGUGGGGCUAGAGUACGGAAGAGGCGAGUGGAAUUCCUGGUGUAGCGGUGGAAUGCGCAGAUAUCAGGAGGAACACCAAUAGCGAAGGCAGCUCGCUGGGACGUUACUGACACUGAGGCGCGAAAGCGUGGGGAGCGAACGGG
rnacentral:rRNA from 1 species